rnacentral:rRNA from 1 species
UGCGUAGGUGGCAGUGCAAGUCAGAUGUGAAAGGCCGGGGCUCAACCCCGGAGCUGCAUUUGAAACUGCAUAGCUAGAGUACAGGAGAGGCAGGCGGAGUUCCUAGUGUAGCGGUGAAAUGCGUAGAUAUUAGGAGGAACACCAGUGGCGAAGGCGGCCUGCUGGACUGUUACUGACACUGAGGCACGAAAGCGUGGGGAGCAAACA